rnacentral:tRNA from 1 species
AUUUAAAUAGUUUAUUAAAAACACUGGUCUGUGGAUCCAGAGAUAUAAUAUAUAAUUAUUUUAGAUC